AUUGAACGCUGGCGGCAGGCCUAACACAUGCAAGUCGAACGAGUGGCGGACGGGUGAGUAAUGUCUGGGAAACUGCCUGAGGGAGGGGGAUAACUACGGGAAACGGGAGCUAAUACCGCAUACUAUCAGAUGUGCCCAGAGGGGAUUAGCGAGUUGGUGGGGUAACGGCUCACCAAGGCGACGAUCCCUAGCUGGUCUGAGAGGAUGACCAGCCACACUGGAACUGAGACACGGUCCAGACUCCUACGGGAGGCAGCAGUGGGGAAUAUUGCACAAUGGGCGCAAGCCUGAUGCAGCCAUGCCGCGUGUAUGAAGAAGGCCUUCGGGUUGUAAAGUACUUUCAGCGGGGAGGCGUUACCCGCAGAAGAAGCACCGGCUAACUCCGUGCCAGCAGCCGCGGUAAUUC
rnacentral:rRNA from 1 species